UACAGAGGUCUCAAGCGUUGUUCGGAUUCAUUGGGCGUAAAGGGCGCGUAGGCUGCGGGGUAAGUCGGGUGUGAAAUCUCAGGGCUCAACCCUGAAACUGCACUCGAUACUGCUCUGCUUGAGGACUGGAGAGGAGACUGGAAUUCACGGUGUAGCAGUGAAAUGCGUAGAGAUCAUGAGGAAGACCAGUGGCGAAGGCGGGUCUCUGGGACGGUACUGACGCUGAGACGCGAAAGCGUGGGGAGCGAACAGG
rnacentral:rRNA from 1 species